GACGAACGCUGGCGGCGUGCCUAACACAUGCAAGUCGAACGAGGUCCAGGGAAGCUUGCUUCCUGAAGACCUAGUGGCGAACGGGUGAGUAACACGUGAGAAACCUGCCUCGGAGUGGGGAAUAACUCGGGGAAACUCGAGCUAAUACCGCAUACCUUCACAUGAUCGCAUGGUCGAGUGAAGAAAGAAUUUCGCUCUGAGAGGGUCUCGCGGCCUAUCAGCUUGUUGGUGGGGUAACGGCCUACCAAGGCAACGACGGGUAGCUGGUUUGAGAGAACGAUCAGCCACACUGGGACUGAGACACGGCCCAGACUCCUACGGGAGGCAGCAGUGGGGAAUCUUGCGCAAUGGGCGAAAGCCUGACGCAGCAACGCCGCGUGCGGGAUGACGGCCUUCGUGGUUGUAAACCGCGUUUCUAGCAGGGACGAAAAUAGACGGUACCUGCAGAAGAAG
rnacentral:rRNA from 1 species